rnacentral:rRNA from 1 species
GUACACGCUGUGACUAGCAUAUCAAUAAGCGGAGGAAAAGAAACUAACAAGGAUUCCCCUAGUAACGGCGAGUGAAGCGGGAAGAGCUCAAAUUUGAAAUCUUAAAGGGUUUCCCUUUACGAAUUGUAGUUUAAAGAAGUGUUUUCUGUUGAGGUUUUGGUAAAAGUUCUUUGGAAUAGGACAUCAUAGAGGGUGAGAAUCCCGUAUUUGACCUUUACUUUCAACUUUGUGAUACACUUUCAAAGAGUCGGAUUGUUUGGGAAUGCAGUCCAAAAUGGGUGGUAAAUUUCAUCUAAAGCUAAAUAUUGGCGAGAGACCGAUAGCGAACAAGUACCGUGAGGGAAAGAUGAAAAGAACUUUGAAAAGAGAGUUAAACAGUACGUGAAAUUGUCAAAAGGGAAGCGUUUGACACCAGUGUUGUUUUUCUGAAAAUCAAUUAAAGAACUGUUUAUGCUAAGCUGUUUAGACUUUAUCAGCUAUCUGUUUAGUUUUGAGCUUUUCUUUAAUGCACUUUUCAGUUAACAAGUCAACAUCAAUUUCUUUCGCCGUAAAAAAGCUUGAGGAAGGUGGCUUGAGAUUCGUCUUAAGUGUUUAUAGCCUCUUGCCUAUGCAGUCGGAGAGAUUGAGGUCUGCAGCGUAGAUCCUUCGGGGCUAAAUGCAUUUGUGCUAAGUUAUAGCAUUUUAUAGACAACUUGUUGACUAUGAUUUGUCUUGUAGCUUACUCGCUUAUGUUAUUUUACCUACGCUUAGGAUGUUGAAGAUGUAGCACAUCAU